GUGAAUCAUCAAAUUUUUGAACGCAAAUUGCACUCUCUUCGGAGAGUAUGCCUGUUUGAGUGUCAGCCUAAAAAAAAUCGACGUAGUCUCUGUUGCGCGGUGUCAUUCUUCGGAAAUUGUGUCAUCUUAAACCUUUGGGUUUUUUAAGCGGCUUAAAAUUUUCUUUACGAUUCGACGAACUUUUCUAAGAUUUACUUACACUUUUAAGGUAUCGAUCUUUAUUAGACGUGGCCUUUUCUUCGGUUCUCGUCCAUAAAUA
rnacentral:misc_RNA from 1 species